rnacentral:rRNA from 1 species
AGGGCUUCGGCCCCGGUACAGUGGCGCACGGGUGAGUAACACGUAGAUCAUCUCCCCUCGAGUGGUGGAUAACUCUCCGAAAGGAGAGCUAAUACAGCAUAAGACCACGGCUUCGCUGAAGCUGCGGCCAAAGCAGGCCUCUACACGUAAGCUUGCGCUUGAGGAUGAGUCUGCGGCCCAUCAGCUAGUUGGUAGGGUAAUGGCCUACCAAGGCUAAGACGGGUAGCUGGUCUGAGAGGAUGAACAGCCACACUGGAACUGAGACACGGUCCAGACUCCUACGGGAGGCAGCAGUGGGGAAUCUUGCGCAAUGGGCGAAAGCCUGACGCAGCGACGCCGCGUGAGCGAUGAAGGCCUUCGGG